UGCGGGGUAGAGAAGUGGUUGUCUCGGUGGCCUCAUAAGCCAUGUCAUUUACGAUGGUUCAAAUCCAUCCCCCGCAUCCA
rnacentral:tRNA from 2 species